rnacentral:ribozyme from 1 species
CAAAGACCUAUACACCUCUUUCCUCCAGCACAUGUCCCACGACUUGUACAGCGACGUACCCGUGACACUGGACUUGUACAAGUUGAACAUUUAUCCGACCGGAGGACAUUUCGAAGAUCAUCAAGACACGCCUCGCCCAGGGGUCGUGGGGACGUGUGUGGUGGUGCUUCCCCCCCUGUUAGAUGGCGAGAAAGACACAUUCGAAGGAG